GCCGGGGUAGCUUAGCUGGUGGAGCGCCGGACUCAUAAUCCGGAGGUCCUGGGUUCAAAUCCCAGCCCCGGCA
rnacentral:tRNA from 1 species